rnacentral:lncRNA from 1 species
UUUACAGCUAAUUUUUCUCUUUGGUCCAUCUUGGACUUCUUUGACUACUUCACUGCAUAUACUAUCAAUCUUCGACUCUUUUGACUUUAAUUACAAUUCAAUAACCAUAAUUUUAAACUCGGGAAUGGCCAAUUACAAUUUAAACCUAACAAUACAAAUUAAAAUCAUUAAUUUUUAAUUUUUCAUGAAUGUGGGGUUUGAUUUUUCACUAUAAAAGAGGUGAAAAUUUCAUUGUUUGAUGCGACUUAGAAACAUUAGAAAAUACUCUCUAUACAUGUCUAUAUAUUAUUAUUUUGGCAACUCAAUAAAGAUCGUUCCCAUAGAAGGAGAACCAACUAUGAGCUAUAUGAGUUUUAUCUUGAAACUAUGUAGUGCCGAAAGUACUCGCAUGAAAAGAAAGCAACACAACUUUGGGAUAGCAUCCUUGAUGUGACUCCCAAACUCUUGCUUUCUAAAUCUAUUCUCAUAUUUAUGUUAUUUAUAGUUAUAUGUUUAUUGUUUAAUUAUAUUAUUCGUACUUACGUUAAUCAGUAAUCUACACAGAAAUCACUUGUUUUUCCGCAACAGUUUUCCUGUGUUGAACUGUUCGUAUUCUACAGAAGAAAGUAAGAAAGAAAUGAGGAGGGAGGAAGAAUUUCAAGAGGGCAGUUGAGGAAGAGAUGGCGACUCUUCAACAAGGCCAAAGCAUAAUGGAAGUUGACCUCAAGGGCUCUAAUCUUAUUGUGGUAUGCUUACUAUUUCUAUCUGACUCUUAUUUUCUUUUCAAGUUAAAGGUUGUGCUAAAACUUAUAAUCUGUAAGCAAAGGUGAUGGAUGUGGCAUUAUCUAAUCGAAGCUUGCAUAAUCUAUUUCUCUUAAUGGUUUUUGCUUGAUGUCUACAUGGCUAUUGCUAUUUUCUUUGAAGUUCAUUAUAUUCCUGAAGUUAAUUUGGAUGAUUCUUUUGGUUUCAAUCAUUGGGAGCUUUGUUGUGGCUUAUAAAAGUGGGCGAGAAGAGGCAGUCGAGUCUGGUAGAAAAAUGGGUGCAUCAUAAUGCAAGUACUCUAUAAUGAACAAGUUAGUCUACUUCAAAAAUCUCCAAACUGGUAAGCACUUGUUCUAAUUCUUAACUAUUGUUUCUCUAUUGUUGUAUCUUCGAUUUUUAAUAUUAAAAUUAGCUUAGAGCAGAAAGUUCAUUCAUAAUUAAAUAAGCAAGUUAACGCAUGCUGCUGGCUUUUAUUGCAGGACAGAAACUUUCAAAUCAUGUCCCUGGUUAACUUGAAACAUGACUUGCAGUCGUAUACUUAAAAAAAAAGGAUGAUUGACGAAAGUUAAAAGUGAUGAUGAUGGACUCGCGCCAUAGAAACCAAUACAAAUAGACUAAAUACUUUUUGGACAUAGAUUACGAAUCGAGUUCUGAUGUUGAUUCUUGAAUUGGAUAUUGUGAUAGUAUUUACCUUUAUGUAUCAUAGAAAAUUAUCCUUAAUUUUAUAAUCAGCUUGAGAUUUUUUUGUGAAAAGUUUUUUUGUCAUCGCCAGUCCACCGAUCACCGGUCCUUAGUUUUUUUGUAUAAUCAGCUUAAUUUUAUAUUGUGAUAGCUAUUCACCAUGUUGCACAUUUCAAGCAUGUGAGAACCCCAGAUUAUAUCCAUUUUUUGUUAUCCUCCAAAUGAUAGUAUGUAGCA